rnacentral:rRNA from 1 species
AUGCAAGUCGAGCGGACAGAAGGGAGCUUGCUCCCGGAUGUUAGCGGCGGACGGGUGAGUAACACGUGGGUAACCUGCCUGUAAGACUGGGAUAACUCCGGGAAACCGGAGCUAAUACCGGAUAGUUCUUGAACCGCAUGGUUCAAGGAUGAAAGACGGUUUCGGCUGUCACUUACAGAUGGACCCGCGGCGCAUUAGCUAGUUGGUGGGGUAAUGGCUCACCAAGGCGACGAUGCGUAGCCGACCUGAGAGGGGAUCGGCCACACUGGGACUGAGACACGGCCCAGACUCCUACGGGAGGCAGCAGUAGGGAAUCUUCCGCAAUGGACGAAAGUCUGACGGAGCAACGCCGCGUGAGUGAUGAAGGUUUUCGGAUCGUAAGCUCUGUUGUUAGGGAAGAACAAGUGCGAGAGUAACUGCUCGCACCUUGACGGUACCUAACCAGAAAGCCACGGCUAACUACGUGCCAGCAGCCGCGGUAAUACGUAGGUGGCAAGCGUUGUCCGGAUUAUUGGGCGUAAAGGGCUCGCAGGCGGUUUCUUAAGUCUGAUGUGAAAGCCCCCGGCUCAACCGGGGAGGGUCAUUGGAAACUGGGAAACUUGAGUGCAGAAGAGGAGAGUGGAAUUCCACGUGUACGGUGAAAUGCGUAGAGAUGUGGAGGAACACCAGUGGCGAAGGCGACUCUCUGGUCUGUAACUGACGCUGAGGAGCGAAAGCGUGGGGAGCGAACAGGAUUAGAUACCCUGGUAGUCCACGCCGUAACGAUGAGUGCUAAGUGUUAGGGGGUUUCCGCCCCUUAGUGCUGCAGCUAACGCAUAAGCACUCCGCCUGGGGAGUACGGUCGCAAGACUGAAACUCAAAGGAAUUGACGGGGGCCCGCACAAGCGGUGAGCAUGUGGUUUAAUUCGAAGCAACGCGAAGAACCUUACCAGGUCUUGACAUCCUCUGACAACCCUAGAGAUAGGGCUUUCCCUUCGGGGACAGAGUGACAGGUGGUGCAUGGUUGUCGUCAGCUCUGUCGUGAGAUGUUGGGUUAAGUCCCGCAACGAGCGCAACCCUUGAUCUUAGUUGCCAGCAUUCAGUUGGGCACUCUAAGGUGACUGCCGGUGACAAACCGGAGGAAGGUGGGGAUGACGUCAAAUCUCAUGCCCCUUAUGACCUGGGCUACACACGUGCUACAAUGGACAGAACA